rnacentral:rRNA from 1 species
CUACCUUUGAGUGGGGAAUAACGUUCGGAAACGAACGCUAAUACCGCAUACGUCAGCGGUGCCUACGGGCGCUGUUGGGAAAGAUGGCCUCUCCUUGGAAGCUAUCACCGGAAGAUGAGCCCGCGCCCCAUCAGCUAGUUGGUGAGGUAACGGCUCACCAAGGCUUAGACGGGUAGCUGGUCUGAGAGGAUGGCCAGCCACAUUGGGACUGAGAUACGGCCCAG